UACGGGGGGUGCGAGCGUUGUCCGGAAUCACUGGGCGUAAAGGGCGCGUAGGUGGUUUGAUAAGGCUGUGGUGAAAGCCCGGGGCUCAACCCCGGGUCUGCCGUGGCGACUGUCAGACUGGAGGGCUCGAGAGGCAGACGGAAUUCCGGGUGUAGCGGUGGAAUGCGUAGAGAUCCGGAAGAAGACCGGUGGCGAAGGCGGUCUGCUGGCGAGUACCUGACACUGAUGCGCGACAGCGUGGGGAGCAAACAGG
rnacentral:rRNA from 1 species